AUUGAACGCUGGCGGCAGGCCUAACACAUGCAAGUCGAGCGGAUGAAGGGAGCUUGCUCCUGGAUUCAGCGGCGGACGGGUGAGUAAUGCCUAGGAAUCUGCCUGGUAGUGGGGGAUAACGUCCGGAAACGGGCGCUAAUACCGCAUACGUCCUGCGGGAGAAAGUGGGGGAUCUUCGGACCUCACGCUAUCAGAUGAGCCUAGGUCGGAUUAGCUAGUUGGUGGGGUAAAGGCCUACCAAGGCGACGAUCCGUAACUGGUCUGAGAGGAUGAUCAGUCACACUGGAACUGAGACACGGUCAAGACUCCUACGGGAGGCAGCAGUGGGGAAUAUUGGACAAUGGGCGAAAGCCUGAUCCAGCCAUGCCGCGUGUGUGAAGAAGGUCUUCGGAUUGUAAAGAACUUUAAGUUGGGAGGAAGGGCAGUAAGUUAAUACCUUGCUGUUUUGACGUUACCAACAAAAUAAGCACCGGCUAACUUCGUG
rnacentral:rRNA from 1 species